rnacentral:rRNA from 1 species
AGGUAAUGGCUCACCAAGGCGACGAUCCGUAACUGGUCUGAGAGGAUGAUCAGUCACACUGGAACUGAGACACGGUCCAGACUCCUACGGGAGGCAGCAGUGGGGAAUAUUGGACAAUGGGCGAAAGCCUGAUCCAGCCAUGCCGCGUGUGUGAAGAAGGUCUUCGGAUUGUAAAGCACUUUAAGUUGGGAGGAAGGGCAUUAACCUAAUACGUUAGUGUUUUGACGUUACCGACAGAAUAAGCACCGGCUAACUCUGUGCCAGCAGCCGCGGUAAUACAGAGGGUGCAAGCGUUAAUCGGAAUUACUGGGCGUAAAGCGCGCGUAGGUGGUUUGUUAAGUUGGAUGUGAAAUCCCCGGGCUCAACCUGGGAACUGCAUUCAAAACUGACAAGCUAGAGUAUGGUAGAGGGUGGUGGAAUUUCCUGUGUAGCGGUGAAAUGCGUAGAUAUAGGAAGGAACACCAGUGGCGAAGGCGACCACCUGGACUGA